rnacentral:rRNA from 1 species
CCAAUAGCGUAUAUUAAAGUUGUUGCAGUUAAAAAGCUCGUAGUUGAAUUUCGAGACCGGUUUACUGGUCGUGCUUUUGUACGUACUGGUAUUAUUGGUUUCUCCUUUCUGACGAAUCAUAAUGCCAUUAAUUUGGUGUUUUGGGGAAUCAGGACUGUUACUUUGAAAAAAUUAGAGUGUUUAAAGCAGGCUCACGCUUGAAUACAUUAGCAUGGAAUAACGAAAUAGGACGUUUGAUUUUAUUUUGUUGGUUUCUAGGAUCGACGUAAUGAUUAAUAGGGAUAGUUGGGGGCAUUAGUAUUCAAUUGUCAGAGGUGAAAUUCUUGGAUUUAUUGAAGACUAACUACUGCGAAAGCAUUUGCCAAGGAUGUUUUCAUUAAUCGAGAACGAAAGUUAGGGGAUCGAAGACGAUCAGAUACCGUCGUAGUCUUAACCAUAAACUAUGCCGACUAGGGAUCGGAUGAUGUUAAUUUUUUAAUGACUCAUUCGGCGCCUUACG